AACGAACGCUGGCGGCGUGCCUAACACAUGCAAGUCGAACGAUGAUAGGAAGCUUGCUUCCUUGAUUAGUGGCGCACGGGUGAGUAUACCAUAGAUAAUGUACCUCUUAGUUUGGGAUAGCCACUGGAAACGGUGAUUAAUACCAGAUACUCCUUCUCAUUAUAAGAUGAGUCGGGAAAGUUUUUUCGCUAAGAGAUCAGUCUAUGUCCUAUCAGCUAGUUGGUGAGGUAAUGGCUCACCAAGGCUAUGACGGGUAUCUGGUUUGAGAGGAUGAUCAGACACACUGGAACUGAGACACGGUCCAGACACCUACGGGUGGCAG
rnacentral:rRNA from 1 species